rnacentral:rRNA from 1 species
AUUGAACGCUGGCGGCAGGCCUAACACAUGCAAGUCGAGCGGUUGACGGGAGCUUGCUCCCUGAUUCAGCGGCGGACGGGUGAGUAAUGCCUAGGAAUCUGCCUAUUAGUGGGGGACAACGUUUCGAAAGGAACGCUAAUACCGCAUACGUCCUACGGGAGAAAGCAGGGGACCUACGGGCCUCGCGCUAAUAGAUGAGCCUAGGUCGGAUUAGCUUGUUGGUGAGGUAAUGGCUCACCAAGGCGACGAUCCGUAACUGGUCUGAGAGGAUGAUCAGUCACACUGGAACUGAGACACGGUCCAGACUCCUACGGGAGGCAGCAGUGGGGAAUAUUGGACAAUGGGCGAAAGCCUGAUCCAGCCAUGCCGCGUGUGUGAAGAAGGUCUUCGGAUUGUAAAGCACUUUAAGUUGGGAGGAAGGGUUGUAGAUUAAUACUCUGCAAUUUUGACGUUACCGACAGAAUAAGCACCGGCUAACUCUGUGCCAGCAGCCGCGGUAAAAC